rnacentral:ncRNA from 1 species
GAGCGCCCGGUGCGUCGAAAGGCGCACGCCGGGUGCGGAGAGAGGCCGUGGGAAACGGGCCGGGAGUAAUCCCGGCACCGCGCCCACGGCCUACUCGAC